UAUGGCGAAAUUGGUAGACGCUACGGACUUAAAAUCCGUCGACUUAAAAAAGUCGUGAGGGUUCAAGUCCCUCUAUCCCCA
rnacentral:tRNA from 1 species